GACGAACGCUGGCGGCGUGCCUAAUACAUGCAAGUAGAACGCUGAAGGAGGAGCUUGCUCUUCUGGAUGAGUUGCGAACGGGUGAGUAACGCGUAGGUAACCUGCCUGGUAGCGGGGGAUAACUAUUGGAAACGAUAGCUAAUACCGCAUAACAGUAGAUGUUGCAUGACAUUUGCUUAAAAGGUGCAAUUGCACCACUACCAGAUGGACCUGCGUUGUAUUAGCUAGUUGGUGGGGUAACGGCUCACCAAGGCGACGAUACAUAGCCGACCUGAGAGGGUGAUCGGCCACACUGGGACUGAGACACGGCCCAGACUCCUACGGGAGGCAGCAGUAGGGAAUCUUCGGCAAUGGACGGAAGUCUGACCGAGCAACGCCGCGGGAGUGAAGAAGGUUUUCGGAUCGUAAAGCUCGGUUGUAAGAGAAGAACGAGUGUGAGAGUGGAAAGUUCACACUGUGACGGUAGCUUACCAGAAAGGGACGGCUAACUACGUG
rnacentral:rRNA from 1 species